UACGUAGGGAGCAAGCGUUGUCCGGAAUCAUUGGGCGUAAAGCGCGCGUAGGCGGCCCCGUAAGUCCGCUGUGAAAGUCAAAGGCUCAACCUUUGAAAGCCGGUGGAUACUGUGGGGCUAGAGUACGGAAGAGGCGAGUGGAAUUCCUGGUGUAGCGGUGGAAUGCGCAGAUAUCAGGAGGAACACCGGUGGCGAAGGCGGGUCUCUGGGCCGAUAUCGACGCUGAGGAGCGAAAGCGUGGGGAGCGAACAGG
rnacentral:rRNA from 1 species